UGGCGGGGCUUGGCCUUGACGGGGGGUGUGAGUGUCAUUAGACUCAUGCACCCCUAAAUUUGGCAGGGCAUCCGCUCUGCCAUUUUGCUUUCCUUAGUGGGCAAUAGCGUCGAAAGACAACAGUGGAGCUUAUAGA
rfam:Pseudomonas taeanensis MS-3 contig_10, whole genome shotgun sequence.